rnacentral:rRNA from 1 species
GAUGAACGCUGGCGGCGUGCCUAAUACAUGUAAGCCGAGCGAAUGGAUUAAGAGCUUGCUCUUAUGAAGUUAGCGGCGGACGGGUGAGUAACACGUGGGUAACCUGCCCAUAAGACUGGGAUAACUCCGGGAAACCGGGGCUAAUACCGGAUAACAUUUUGAACCGCAUGGUUCGAAAUUGAAAGGCGGCUUCGGCUGUCACUUAUGGAUGGACCCGCGUCGCAUUAGCUAGUUGGUGAGGUAACGGCUCACCAAGGCAACGAUGCGUAGCCGACCUGAGAGGGUGUUCGGCCACACUGGGACUGAGACACGGCCCAGACUCCUGCGGGAGGCAGCAGUAGGGAAUCUUCCGCAAUGGACGAAAGUCUGACGGAGCAACGCCGCGUGAGUGAUGAAGGCUUUCGGGUCGUAAAACUCUGUUGUUAGGGAAGAACAAGUGCUAGUUGAAUAAGCUGGCACCUUGACGGUACCUAACCAGAAAGCCACGGCUAACUACGUGCCAGCCGCCGCGGUAA